rnacentral:rRNA from 1 species
CGGAGUACUUCGGUACUUAGUGGCGGACGGGUGAGUAACGCGUGAGAAUCUGCCUUCAGGUUCGGGACAACCACUGGAAACGGUGGCUAAUACCGAAUGUGCAGAGAUGUGAAAUAUUUAUAGCCUGAAGAUGAGCUCGCGUCUGAUUAGCUAGUAGGUGUGGUAAAAGCGCACCUAGGCGACGAUCAGUAGCUGGUCUGAGAGGAUGAUCAGCCACACUGGGACUGAGACACGGCCCAGACUCCUACGGGAGGCAGCAGUGGGGAAUUUUCCGCAAUGGGCGAAAGCCUGACGGAGCAAUACCGCGUGAGGGAGGAAGGCUCUUGGGUUGUAAACCUCUUUUCUCAAGGAAGAACACAAUGACGGUACUUGAGGAAUAAGCAUCGGCUAACUCCGUGCCAGCAGCCGCGGUAAUACGGAGGAUGCAAGCGUUAUCCGGAAUGAUUGGGCGUAAAGCGUCCGCAGGUGGCUUUGUAAGUCUGCUGUUAAAUAGUGAGGCUCAACCUCAUAAAGGCAGUGGAAACUACAAGGCUAGAGUGCGUUCGGGGCAGAGGGAAUUCCUGGUGUAGCGGUGAAAUGCGUAGAGAUCAGGAAGAACACCGGUGGCGAAAGCGCUCUGCUAGGCCGCAACUGACACUGAGAGACGAAAGCUAGGGGAGCGAAUGGGAUUAGAUACCCCAGUAGUCCUAGCCGUAAACGAUGGAUACUAGGCGUGGCUUGUAUCGACCCGAGCCGUGCC